rnacentral:rRNA from 1 species
GUUUGAUCAUGGCUCAGAUUGAACGCUGGCGGGAUGCUUUACACAUGCAAGUCGAACGGCAGCCUGGACUUCGGUCUGGUGGCGAGUGGCGAACGGGUGAGUAAUGUAUCGGAACGUGCCUAGUAGCGGGGGAUAACGCGGCAGCAGCUAAUACCGCAUACGCCCUUCGGGAAAGCGGGGGACCUUCGGGCCUCGCACUAUUAGAGCAGCCGAUAUCGGAUUAGCUAGUUGGUGGGGAGUAACGGCCCACCGGGCGACGAUCCGUAGCUGGUUUGAAGGACGACCAGCCCACCAGGGACUGAACCACGGCCCAGACUCCUACGGGGAGGCAGCAGUGGGGAAUUUUGGACAAUGGGGAAACCUGAUCCAGCCAUCCCGCGUGUGCGAUGAGGCCUUCGGUUGUAAAGCACUUUUGGCAGGAAAGAAACGGCACGGGAUAAUACCCCGUGCAACUGACAGUACCUGCAGAAUAAGACACCGGCUAACUACAUGCCAGCAGCCGCGGUAAUACAGCAGGGUGCAAGCGUUAAUCGGAAUUACUGAGGCAUAAAGCGCUUGCGCAGGCGGUUCGGGAAAGAAGAUGUGAAAUCCCAGAGCUUAACUUUGGAACUGCAUUUUUAACUACCGAGCUAGAGUGUGUCAGGGAGGUGGAAUUCCGCGUGUAGCAGUGAAAUGCGUAGAUAUGCGGAGGAACACCGAUGGCGAAGGCAGCCUCCUGGGAUAACACUGACGCUCAUGCACGAAAGCGUGGGGGAGCAAACGGAUUAAGAUACCUGGUAGUCCACGCUAAACGAUGUCAACUAGCUGUUGGGGCCUUCGGGCCUUGGUAGCGCAACUAACGCGUGAAGUUGACCGCCUGGGGAGUACGGUCGCAAGAUUAAAACUCAAAGGAAUUGACGAAAGGGACCCGCACAAGCGGUGGAUGAUGUGGAUUAAUUCGAUGCAACGCGAAAAACCUUACCUACCCGCGACACAUGUCUGGAAUCCCGAAGAGAUUUGAGUGCUCGCAAGAGAACCGGAACACAGGUGCUGCAUGGCUGUCGUCAGCUCGUGUCGUGAGAUGUUGGGUUAAGUCCGCAACAGCGGCGCAACCCUUGUCAUUAGUUGCGAAGGGGCACUCUAUUGAGACUGCCGGUGACAAACCGGAGGAAGGUGGGGAUGACGUCAAGUCCUCAUGGCCCUUAUGGGUAGGGCUUCACACGUCAUACAAUGGUCGGGACAGAGGGUCGCCAACCCGCGAGGGGGAGCCAAUCCCAGAAACCCGAUCGUAGUCCGGAUCACCAGUCUGCAACUCGACUGCGUGAAGUCGGAAUCGCUAGUAAUCGCGGAUCAGCAUGUCGCGGUGAAUCGUUCCAGGUCUUGUACACACCGCCCGUCACACCGUGGGAGUGGGUUUGCAAGUAGUUAGCCUAACCUGUGGGGAGGGCGAUUACCACGGUAGGAUUCAUGACUGGGGUGAAGUCGUAACAAGGUAA